AACGAACGCUGGCGGCAUGCCUAACACAUGCAAGUCGAACGAGACCUUCGGGUCUAGUGGCGCACGGGUUCGUAACGCGUGGGAACCUGCCCUUAGGUUCGGCAUAACUCCCCGAAAGGGGUGCUAAUACCGGAUAAUGUCUUCGGACCAAGGAUUUAUCGCCUUUGGAUGGGCCCGCGUUGGAUUAGCUAGUUGGUAGGGUAAAAGCCUACCAAGGCGACGAUCCAUAGCUGGGCUGAGAGGAUGAUCAGCCACACUGGGACUGAGACGCGGCCCAGAAUCCUACGGGAGGCAGCAGUGGGGAAUAGUGGACAAUGGGCGAAAGGCUGAUCCAGCAAUGCCGGGUGAGUGAUGAAGGUAUUAGGGUUGUAAAGCUCUUUUAACCGGGAUGAUAAUGACAGUACCGGGAGAAUAAGCUACGGCUAACUCCGUG
rnacentral:rRNA from 1 species